rnacentral:rRNA from 1 species
CUUGAACGCUGGCGGCAGGCCUAACACAUGCAAGUCGAACGAGUGGCGGACGGGUGAGUAAUGUCUGGGAAACUGCCUGAUGGAGGGGGAUAACUACUGGAAACGUUAGCUAAUACCACAGACCAUCAGAUGUGCCCAGAUGGGAUUAGCUUGGUGGUGGGUGAACGGCGCACCAGGGCGACGAUCCCUAGCUGGUCUGAGAGGAUGAUCAGCCACACUGGCACUGAGACACGGUCCAGACUCCUUGGGGAGGCAGCAGUGGGGAAUAGUGCACAAGGGGCGCAAGCCUGAUGCAGCCAGGCCGCGUGUAUGAAGAAGGCCUUCGGGUUGUAAAGUACUUUCAGCGGGGAGGCGUUACCCGCAGAAGAAGCACCGGCUAACUCCGUGCCAGCAGCCGCGGUAAUAC